rnacentral:rRNA from 1 species
AUGCAAACUGCCCUCGUCAAGGUGUCUAACGUCCCCUUGGACCAGCUUGAUCCUCUGGUCAAGCUUUGGGCCAAUGAGGUUAGAGAGCUACCUUAUGUCAUCGAGGACAGCCUCGACUCUUUCAUUGUGCACUUCGAGGGGCAUGAGCUACCCAAGCCCCACACCACCUUUGUGGCCUUCAUCAACAAUAUGCGCAACAAGAUCACUGAGUUCAAGAUGCGCAAAAAAGUAGCCAAUGACAUCAAAGACAUCAAGAGCCGCGUCAGGAAGGUGAAGGAAAGGUAUGAUCGGUACAAGGUCCAUGAUGUUGCUGCAAAUCUUGCCAGAACCACAGUCGACCCUCGUCUAUCGGCUAUCUAUAACAAGGUGUCUUACCUUGUUGGCAUUGACAAGCCAAUUGACGAGAUAGUGAAGAGCUUGUCCAAGGCCAGUCAUAUGCCCAAGAGAUCAAAGCUCAAGACCGUCUCCAUUGUUGGAUUUGGAGGGUUGGGCAAGACAACUCUUGCCAAAGCGGUGUAUGACACGCUUAACAAGAAAUUCGACUAUGGUGUUUUCGUCCCAGUGGGUCAGAAUCCUGACAUGAAAAAAGUUCUUGGGGACAUCAUUCAUGAACGACCUACAAAUGUGUACUAUUGCAUCAGUGAUGGAUGUACGGCAACUCAUCAACCACCUGAGAAAUUUCCUUUCUAA